rnacentral:rRNA from 1 species
GAUGAACGCUGGCGGCGCGCCUAAUACAUGCAAGUCGAGCGAACAGACGAGGAGCUUGCUCCUCUGACGUUAGCGGCGGACGGGUGAGUAACACGUGGAUAACCUACCUAUAAGACUGGGAUAACUUCGGGACACCGGAGCUAAUACCGGAUAAUAUAUUGAACCGCAUGGUUCAAUAGUGAAAGACGGUUUUGCUGUCACUUAUAGAUGGAUCCGCGCCGCAUUAGCUAGUUGGUAAGGUAACGGCUUACCAAGGCAACGAUGCGUAGCCGACCUGAGAGGGUGAUCGGCCACACUGGAACUGAGACACGGUCCAGACUCCUACGGGAGGCAGCAGUAGGGAAUCUUCCGCAAUGGGCGAAAGCCUGACGGAGCAACGCCGCGUGAGUGAUGAAGGUCUUCGGAUCGUAAAACUCUGUUAUUAGGGAAGAACAAAUGUGUAAGUAACUAUGCACGUCUUGACGGUACCUAAUCAGAAAGCCACGGCUAACUACGUG